rnacentral:rRNA from 1 species
AACGCGAAGAACCUUACCUACCCUUGACAUCCUUGGAAUUUUCUAGAAAUAGGAAAGUGCCUUCGGGAACCAGGAGACAGGUGCUGCAUGGCUGUCGUCAGCUCGUGUCGUGAGAUGUUGGGUUAAGUCCCGUAACGAGCGCAACCCUCGCCCUUAGUUGCUAACGGUUCGGCCGAGAACUCUAAGGGGACUGCCGGUGAUAAACCGGAGGAAGGCGGGGAUGAUGUCAAGUCAUCAUGGCCCUCACGGGUAGGGCUACACACGUGCUACAAUGGGCGGUACAAAGGGUUGCCAAACCGCAAGGUGGAGCUAAUCCCAAAAAACCGCUCGUAGUCCAGAUUGGAGUCUGCAACUCGACUCCAUGAAGUCGGAAUCGCUAGUAAUCGUGAAUCAGAAUGUCGCGGUGAAUACGUUCCCGGGCCUUGUACACCCGCAUAC